rnacentral:tRNA from 1 species
GAGGAAGUGGGUGAGAGGCUUAUACCAGCAGUUUGCUAAACUGCCGUAUCGAAAGGUACCGUUGGUUCGAAUCCAACCUUUCUCGCCA